rnacentral:rRNA from 1 species
GACAGAGGUUGCAAACGUUGUUCGGAAUUACUGGGCAUAAAGCGCACGUAGGCGGUCCGUUAAGUCAUGUGUGAAAUCCCCCGGCUCAACCGGGGAAUUGCGCCUGAUACUGGCGGGCUAGAGGUCGAUAGGGGUGAGCGGAACUCCAGGUGGAGCGGUGAAAUUCGUAGAUAUCGGGAGGAACACCGGUGGCGAAGGCGGCGACCUGGGUAGAUACUGACGCUGAGGUGCGAAAGCGUGGGGAGCAAACAGG